rnacentral:rRNA from 1 species
ACGAACGCUGGCGGCGUGCCUAAUACAUGCAAGUCGAACGGUCUUUCUAUGGAAGCUUGCUUCCACUGAGAAGAUAGUGGCGAACGGGUGAGUAACACGUGGGUAACCUGCCCAUAAGAGGGGGAUAACAUCCGGAAACGGGUGCUAAUACCGCAUAGUUUUUCUUGAUCGCAUGAUUGAGAAAGGAAAGACGGCCUUUGUGCUGUCGCUUAUGGAUGGACCCGCGGCGUAUUAGUUAGUUGGUGAGGUAAUGGCUCACCAAGACGAUGAUACGUAGCCGACCUGAGAGGGUGAUCGGCCACAUUGGGACUGAGACACGGCCCAAACUCCUACGGGAGGCAGCAGUAGGGAAUCUUCCGCAAUGGACGAAAGUCUGACGGAGCAACGCCGCGUGAGUGAAGAAAAGGUUUUCGGAUCGUAAAACUCUGUUGUCAGAGAAGAACAAGUUGGAGAGUAACUGCUCCAGCCUUGACGGUAUCUGACCAGAAAGCCACGGCUAACUACGUGCCAGCCGCCGC